rnacentral:rRNA from 1 species
AGUGAACGCUGGCGGUAGGCCUAACACAUGCAAGUCGAACGGCAGCACAGUAAGAGCUUGCUCUUACGGGUGGCGAGUGGCGGACGGGUGAGGAAUACAUCGGAAUCUACUUUUUCGUGGGGGAUAACGUAGGGAAACUUACGCUAAUACCGCAUACGACCUACGGGUGAAAGCAGUGGAUCUUCGGACCUUGCGCGAUUGAAUGAGCCGAUGUCGGAUUAGCUAGUUGGCGGGGUAAAGGCCCACCAAGGCGACGAUCCGUAGCUGGUCUGAGAGGAUGAUCAGCCACACUGGAACGGAGACACGGUCCAGACUCCUACGGGAGGCAGCAGUGGGGAAUAUUGGACAAUGGGCGCAAGCCUGAUCCAGCCAUACCGCGUGGGUGAAGAAGGCCUUCGGGUUGUAAAGCCCUUUUGUUGGGAAAGAAAAGCAGCAGGUUAAUACCCCGCUGUUCUGACGGUACCCAAAGAAUAAGCACCGGCUAACUUCGUG